rnacentral:rRNA from 1 species
AUGGACAGGUCGUUCAGCCUCAGACCGGCGUCUUCGAACCGCAGCGGCGACAACGCGACGUCGUCGUCCUCGUGCUUGGUGGCGUCGCUGCUGUUCGCGGCGCAGAACCUGAACGGGAUCGGGAUAAGGUACAGCGGGGCGGACCUCGGCGUGGCCCUGCCCCUACGCGACCGAGUCGGUCGGCGCCAUGGACGUGCCGGUGUUCUACCAGCCGCCGCGGAGCAGCAUCGUGAUGGUGCUCAUGCACGCCGUGUUCGAGGAGUCCAACGUCAGCCGGCUCGUCGUCAGCGAGCUGUCGGCGCAGAGGAAGCUCGUCGAGAUCAGGAUCGCCGGGAGCAUCGACGCCACCACGCACAUCAUGAAUUUCCCUCUGACAAAGCUAUUCAGUUUACGCUCGAUUGCAGGAUAGCAACUAACUACACCGACAUAGUGCUCCGGGAAGGGAUUGAGUCUGCAACUAUAUGCAAGGACUCAGAACAGUGA